AUGAGGUACCGUAUUUUCUAGACAAUAAGGCGCUUCGGAUUAUAAAGUGUACCUUCAAUGAAUAGCUUAUUUCAAAGAUGUUAUUCAUAGGUACACUGCAUUACAGGAAUAGAAGCUACAAUAGUGGAUGCGGUUGUGCUAUGCAUCCACAAGAUGGAGCUAUGCUAAAGGGAAUACAAUACAAUUGAAUACAGCUUUAUUUAUAUAGAGCAAAGCCAUGCAGAACUGGUCACAAACAUAUACAUUAAACUUAUAAAUACAAAUGGUAUUAUAAAACAAGAAAUGAAAGACUAAAGUUAUGAAGACGCUUCAACAAAAAGGCAGGCAAACCUCGUGGGCUCACAUCCACAAGUGGUUAAAUAUCCUAAGAAAUUAGCAUUGGAAACAAUGUAAAAUAGGGUGCGUCAAAGUAACAUCACUGGCAAACUCUUAAGUCUGAAAAAUGUGUCUGUGGGGAUACACUGUAUUCGGAAAGUGUUGACCGAGUCUUAUUUGGUGUGCACUUGGUCAAUCCCUCCUUAUCCAAGCCGCUUAGGGUCUCAGGUGUUCUGGAGCCUAUCCCAGCUGACUGCGGAUGUGCUAAGCACUCAACCACCAUGCUGCCAGCGUGACCUUGGUCUUUCGAGAAAUUUCGAGGAUAUGAUUU